CGUAGGUGUGCGGUCAUCCCUGCCUGCGUAACGUUGAGUCCCUAUAUAUGUGCAGGAGCGGUGAUUAAAGUCUGCACUUGUAAAUAUUGGCAGCAAUCAGGGCUAUCCGAUUCUAUCUCGGGUACGGGCCCGCGGGGAUCACAGGCAGUGACCCCCUUGCACGUUACAUAAAAUUUGGUGGCAGCGGUGGGAUACCCUGCAAUUGCUGCAGAAAGAAUGGAAGACGUCGACAAAGAAAUAUCGUUCUUGGAGGAGAAGAUCGCCGAAAUGCGUGAGCGCAGCGACAUUCUGAAGACCUCAACGCCAAGACCCGCUGCAAGCAGAGAUUCUGGUGUGGACACUAUGCGCACAGCUUUGGAUACUUCUCUGAAGAAAGGAGAGCUGUCUUUGCGCACUGGUCACACGACAGCUUUACAUCUUGAGAUGCGGCUGCUGCGUAUGAGACGGGGGCUUAUUCCGGACUUCGCUCUAACAAGAGAACAGAGGCGCACCCGCGCAGCAACGACCAGUUCUCUGAUUCCUAUGAGCUCUACGAAGAGUCAGAGAGGAAAAAAGCCAGGUCAUAUUCGGAAAGACUGUAAGGCCUACAGAGAUAACAGACUGAGAGAGAAUUCUACCAUUAGUAGUGAAAGCGGGAAUCGAAGAUAUGGAAGGAGAGCUGAGGCAAAUUCUAAUCAGAUGCAGAACAAAACUAAUGGGACAGCCUCCAUUGGCGCAAACACCGUGGGUUCAGACGCUGGCUUGUUUCUUAAGAUGGAGAUAUGCGGUGUAGUGGCCAAACUAUAGGUAGAUACCGGAGCUACCCUGACCCUUAUAUCUACGGACUUGCUGUCCA
rnacentral:sRNA from 1 species